rnacentral:rRNA from 1 species
UACCACUACCCAAUAAGACCAGUCCUCUCCAGUUGGUAGUGGUUGGAAAAUUUGAUGGCUGAACCCAGCAAGGGACAAAGGAUGUACCCCAACGGGCAAUCACUGAGCUACUAGGCAUACUCCCUAGAAUCUGGACACCACCUCUCCCUCCUCGCCCUGAGUAAUGGUGGUACGGCGUACUUCCUCCUUGCUCUCAGUGGUGGCAGUGCGGUUCAUUUCGUCCUCGCCCUCAGCGGUAGCGGAUCGGCGCAACCUUCACAAAGGGGGCACUAGUGCCACUUCCGCACGCCCGUGUAAAAGGUGAUGGAACCACUUCUGCCAUCGUCGUCACCAUCCAGCAGGAGAGCCUCGCGGAACUGCUGUCUUCCUACACGUUCAAGGCUACAGGGCAACGGCGUUAAGAGUUCCUGGACCUCGAGCUCGUUCUGAUAUCGACGGAAGCCGUUCCGGGGAGGGGGGCACGGGAACAGGCGCCACCGGCGCCGGCGUAACACACGUCGUCCACUGUCGACCCUUUGGGAUAGCGUUUGGGUGCGGGGCUGAGGUUGCAGUCGUUAUUACUCCGCCACGGUAGCUGGUAGGCUGGUGCGCAUGCUCCAGUGGUAGCUCAUAUCUUGGCUUCACCGUCGCCGGUGAGAAGUGCGGUGGCCGUAGCAGGCUAGGGUCGAGGAUAGACGACGUCGUCCGAGUGACGGUGUGGGUAGAGGUGGAGGGGAGGAGGGGUAGCAGAGGAGGACGGGGAUGGGGUAGAGGAUGCCGCUGCUGUAGUUGUUCAUGCAGCAGCCGUGGCCGGCAGGCGCCUCAGAGGUUGCGGAGAGGACGGAUGAGGAGGCUACGUCGUCUGGGCGGCGGGUUGUUGAGGGGAAGGAGUGGAGACAGAGAAGGAAGGGGAUGGGGAUAUCGCAGACCACCGUACGUGCCGACCGCCGGGUCUACAGUCAUUACGGUUGUCGUCUGUCGUGAGCCACCUCCUCGAGACCGUCCUUCCGUCGCUUCAGGCGUGGCCUCGGUCCUCACAAGAAGCCGCCCCCUCGGCCCCCGAACUCGAAAAGAACCUCAUCGCUCCAACCCCAGGCUCUUCUGUGUGCCCCAACCCUACUCUUCCCGUGGCCGCUCCCCAAGCCGUCACCUACGUAUACGUUUCGAGAUCUACAGGUGCGAGAUAUACAUAACCCGUGGAAAAGACGUCUCGAUUUAACACCACGUCGAGGUCCAGUACCUAAUCUCCAGGUACCACAUCUCUACAGACGUAGUUAGACGUGGGUAUAUAGUCCACUUCAAUUCCUUUUACUACUGUGGGUCUAUACCAACCUACCCUGACAUCGUCGUAGACGUCGACAAUGAAAGUACAAUUGUACAGCAUCGUAAGUAUUCCACUACAGAUUCAUAAAGGGUACGUUGCUCCAACUAGAGAAGUUCUUCUUAGUGUUCAAAGACUUUACACCGUGUUUUUAAGUGUACCAACGUAUACGGACCGACCUUGAUUUGCUCGCACAGUAUCCAACAUACGAACGAGACAUAAAAAGUUCGGAGCCAGAAUACCGUAUGUAUACGAAUCGUCAGCUAGGAAGCACGACACUUUUACCUCGUAACCAGCGACGACGAGACGUGUGGUGGCUGUGGCAGGCGAGGGUUGAGAGACGACGUCGUCGGAACGGCGAGCGGCGGUGUAUU